UGGGGAAUUUUGGACAAUGGGCGCAAGCCUGAUCCAGCAAUGCCGCGUGAGUGAAGAAGGCCUUCGGGUUGUAAAGCUCUUUUGUCAGGGAAGAAACGGCGCCGGCUAAUAUCCGGCUCUAAUGACGGUACUUGAAGAAUAAGCACCGGCUAACUACGUGCCAGCAGCCGCGGUAAUACGUAGGGGGCGAGCGUUGUCCGGAAUCACUGGGCGUAAAGGGCGCGUAGGCGGCUUUUCAAGCGUGCGGUGAAAGCUCGGGGCUUAACUCCGAGUCUGCCGUGCGAACUGGGAGGCUUGAGUCUGGUAGAGGUCGAUGGAAUUCCGGGUGUAGCGGUGGAAUGCGUAGAGAUCCGGAAGAACACCGGUGGCGAAGGCGGUCGACGGGGCCAGUACUGACGCUGAGGCGCGACAGCGUGGGGAGCAAA
rnacentral:rRNA from 1 species